GCUGCCCAUUCCGGCGGAGGAGAACGGGCCCAGACUCCAUGAUAAAUAUUUCCAAGGGGUGGGAUCCGAGACUCCAGAGUGGAAAGCCGAAGCGUUUCCAGCUGGCCAAUCCCACUGACCGAAGGAUGGGAUUGAAUCUCAUUCUUCAUUAGACAUCCGAACGUAACAGAUACGAUUCCCUAUGGUAGGCAGUGGGAUACCCCGUCGCUCGGUUACCAAACGAAAUAACCAAGCAGCUCUCCAAUUGGAUAUCCCUCUCGGUUAGAUUUCUUAAAGCGCUCUAUCGGUUCUUUGGCCAUCCAGUGAUGGACUGUAAAAAUGGCCAAGGUAGAUCGUCCACUUUUACAGUCCAUCACAUCCGGGAUAUACAAUAUCCCGGGUGUGGUAUGGUGACUUAAUUGAAACUUAGUCUAACCUCCGAUUAGAAAAGCGUAAAAUAAAGAAAAAUAAGACAGUUAAUUAUCUAAGAGGCAAUCAUUUGGCAGAUAAGAAGCUGGCUCAGGCUUUGCCGACAUUAUCCUGGAGGUAGUAUUACUCGCUCUCUCAUAAAUUGGAUGAUGCAUUUAUUAUAUUUAUCUGAAAUUUAAUAAAUUUCAAAUAAUCGUGACUUCCGAAGUGACAGCGCUGGCAUGGAUGGUGUCAGAUAGGUGCAUCAGUGUCGUUUAUACACUUGUAUUAAAAUAGCCUUAAUUUGAAAGUAUUGGCAGUAUCGUACUCCAUUCUCUCUAUUAAUCCGCUCACGAGACGCUUUAGCGACUAUUUUCAAUUUACUACUAUAAAGAUCCGGAACCACGAGCAGAAUGAAAUACAGUAUUGUGUGGUGGGAAGCGACGGAGCAUUUAAUCCGGGAGCGAAGAAAACGAGAACAAAGCUUUCAGUUUGAAAGUAUUUUGGGAGUGUGAAACACAUCUGUCCGUUAAAAACGUGCAAAAAUAUAUUUGCUCCAAGCGCAGAAACCUCUCCCUACGGCGCUGUAUGUGGUAGGUGCCACUAAUCACAAUUUCAAUAGCUUUCGAGAAAAUGUUUUGAGUAUUUUUGCACCAAUCAAUCAAAUCGGCCGGCCAUAAAAUUUUACAAUAUAAUGUAUUCCUUCAAACUAACCUGUUCGGCCGAAAUUGGCCCAUCAUUCGAAUAUUAGCUUUUAGCCUAACUAAUCGCCGAUCCACUUAACCGAAUGAUCAUUCCAAAACAUGCGCAGACACGCUGCUUUCAGGCCAAGCCUGGCCAGGCAAAAUUGUUUGCGCCAACUUUAAACUUUUGCCACCGGGCAGAAUACUUAUUAAUAUCCAAGAAGAAUAUAUAUCAGUUAUUAAUAUUCACCCGAAGAAUAUUAAUAACUGGUGUAUAUUUUUCUCCAAAAUUAUACAAAAAUAGAGGAAAAAAUCUGACAAUUUUUUAUAUAAUGCGAUAUUUGUAGUUUCUUUAACUAUACUCCGUCUCACUGUCAGCUGAUAGUGACGUUCGCGAUCUUUGGUUGUAACUAUCC
rnacentral:lncRNA from 1 species